rnacentral:lncRNA from 1 species
AGAAAGUAUAAAAGUAAAACAAGACUAAUGAAAUGAGUUACGUUUAGUUCAGAAACUGCUGAUUCUAUUUCUCUGCAGUAGUACAUUCUGCUGCUUAAAUUUUGAGGCUUCCCUUGUUAGGUGAUAAUUUCAGUUCCAUCAGUGUGUAGACUGUUGUGGGACUUUCUGAUUGAUUCACAAAAAAAUGAGUAUUCAAAAUUCGUUACCUAUUGAGUUUGGAGUCAGUUUCAGUUGCUUGCAAUGACUUAACACAUUUUAGGCCUUUUUUUUUUUUUUUUUUUCUCUGUUUCAGUUUCUUGAAAAGCAGAAAAGGACUACUGACUACCUCAAGAAAUGUCCUGAAAUAAUCCAAAAUGAAUGCCUAUAGAAUGCAAAUUACACUUUUUCUGUCAGAGAUGAACCUUUCAGACCAUGUUCUAAGGCAGACACCCUAGCACUGUUUCUACCCAUCUUCCCUUGAGACAGGGUGGAGUUCUAGAGCCCAGACAGAGGGAUGGAAGAUGUUUAUUUUAGGAUACUAUCCCAAGCCAUGUGGACUGGAAGGAACUGGGCGAUGAUGGGAGAGGAAAAGA